GAUGAACGCUGGCGGCGUGCCUAAUACAUGCAAGUCGAGCGAACAGAUGAGGAGCUUGCUCCUCUGACGUUAGCGGCGGACGGGUGAGUAACACGUGGAUAACCUUCCUAUAAGACUGGGAUAACUUCGGGAAACCGGAGCUAAUACCGGAUAAUAUAUUGAACCGCAUGGUUCAAUAGUGAAAGACGGUUUUGCUGUCACUUAUAGAUGGAUCCGCGCCGCAUUAGCUAGUUGGUAAGGUAACGGCUUACCAAGGCAACGAUGCGUAGCCGACCUGAGAGGGUGAUCGGCCACACUGGAACUGAGACACGGUCCAGACUCCUACGGGAGGCAGCAGUAGGGAAUCUUCCGCAAUGGGCGAAAGCCUGACGGAGCAACGCCGCGUGAGUGAUGAAGGUCUUCGGAUCGUAAAACUCUGUUAUUAGGGAAGAACAAAUGUGUAAGUAACUAUGCACGUCUUGACGGUACCUAAUCAGAAAGCCACGGCUAACUACGUG
rnacentral:rRNA from 1 species